rnacentral:rRNA from 1 species
UGGCGGACGGGUGAGUAAUGUCUGGGAAACUGCCUGAUGGAGGGGGGUAACUACUGGAAACGGUAGCUAAUACCGCAUAACGUCGCAAGACCAAAGAGGGGGACCGUUCGGGCCUCUUGCCAUCGGAUGUGCCCAGAUGGGAUUAGCUAGUAGGUGGGGUAACGGCUCACCUAGGCGACGAUCCCUAGCUGGUCUGAGAGGAUGACCAGCCACACUGGAACUGAGACACGGUCCAG